CGUGGCCGAGCAGUUUAAGGUGCUGGAUUAAGGCGCCAGUCACUUCAAAGGUGUGGGUUCGAAUCCCACCGCUG
rnacentral:tRNA from 1 species